rnacentral:rRNA from 1 species
CCUACGGGUGGCAGCAGUGAGGAAUAUUGGUCAAUGGACGCAAGUCUGAACCAGCCAUGCCGCGUGCAGGCAGACGGCUCUAUGAGUUGUAAACUGCUUUUGUACGAGGAUAAACGCAGAUACGCGUAUCUGUCUGCAAGUAUCGUACGAAUAAGGAUCGGCUAACUCCGUGCCAUCAGCCGCGGUAAUACGGAUGAUUCAAGCGUUAUCCGGAUUUCUUGGGUUUAAAGGGUGCGUAGGCGGUCGUAUAAGUUAGAGGUGAAAUCCCGAGGCUCAACUUCGGAAUUGCCUCUGAUACUGUUCGGCUAGAGAGUAGUUGCGGUAGGCGGAAUGUAUGGUGUAGCGGUGAAAUGCUUAGAGAUCAUACAGAACACCGAUUGCGAAGGCAGCUUACCAAGCUACUUCUGACGUUGAGGCACGAAAGCGUGGGGAGCAAACAGGAUUAGAUACCCGGGUAGUC